UUUCAUUUCCUUAAAUGCCUGGAACAGGUGCAAAAAAAAAAAAAAUCCUCUUUUGGAACCCACAACUCAUUGUUCAGUAUGAGUUUCAAUACAUAGAAGAAGGAAUAUU